rnacentral:ncRNA from 1 species
UUACAUCACACAAUCGAAAGAUUAGCCAAAGGCUGAUAAAAGUGGAACUAAGUGAAAUUCUUAGACUGUCGUGCAACUGUGUUUCCUGUAGGGAAGAGUCAGAUACACCCUUUUGAUUGCUCCAAGUA